GGUGCGUCGUGGCGGUGCCGGAUUCCAAUCUUCAAAGUGUGGGUCAUUGUCCACAAAGCGUAUCCACCAUGGCGCGUGUCCACGGACAGGUGUGGCGGGCAGAGUUUGGAGGUUUCGGACGUUGCGGGGUGACUCCGGGUCCUUCCCCUCCUCUGUGUAAAGGAAGGAUGAACUUCAGCGGUUGUGUUUUAGUCAAGAUCAAAAUGCGGGCGAGCAGACUUGUCCGCAGUCCAGAAAGAAAAGGAGCGGAAGACAAACACGGAAGGCUGCUUUCCCGUCGUCCUC